rnacentral:rRNA from 1 species
GUAUGGGGCAAGCGUUAUCCGGAUUUACUGGGUGUAAAGGGAGCGUAGACGGNAGUGCAAGUCUGAAGUGAAAGCCCGGGGCUCAACCCCGUGACUGCUUUGGAAACUGUGCUUCUAGAGUGUCGGAGAGGUAAGCGGAAUUCCUAGUGUAGCGGUGAAAUGCGUGGAUAUUAGGAGGAACCCCGAUNGCGAAGGCAGCUUCCNAGGCUCGUUCUGACGCUGAUGCNCGAGAGCGUGGGUAGCGAACAGGAUUAGAUACCCUGGUAGUCCACGCCGUAAACGAUGACUACUAGGUGUCGGGCAGCAAAGCUGUUCGGUGCCGCAGCAAACGCAAUAAGUAGUCCACCUGGGGAGUACGUUCGCAAGAAUGAAACUCAA